UUGAUUUGAAGGUUGUUGUGUACUGUACACAAACACACACACAGGUACAUGAUGUUGUAUAACAAACUGUUUACCUCUCGGGCCCUGCCCAGAUUGAGGAGAAGCACCUUAAGCAGGCAGAGGAGAGGGAGAAGCUACGCCUGGAGGAGGUGAAGGAGGAGAGGAGGCUGGCAGAGCAGAGGGCUCAAAUCAAGAGGGAGUUUGACGAGAAUCAGGAGAUCCGAAGACUCAAGGAGAUGAAGGUGCAAAGGGAGAUCUCGCCCCCCAUCCCCACCCUCCAGAAGAGACACAGGGCCCCCCAGUCCACCCCCAGUCCCCCCAGCAUGGACAGUAAACGUCCCACCACCCCCCUGUCUCAAACGGCCAAAAACAAGGAGCUGGUCC